rnacentral:rRNA from 1 species
AAUGAACGCUGGCGGCAGGCCUAACACAUGCAAGUAGAGCGAGCGGCGGAGGGGUGAGUAAUGUAUGGGGAUUUCCCUGUUGGGGGGGGAUAAUUACUGAAAACGGUAGCAAUUACUGCAUAACAUCACUUUAACCCAUACUGGAUUUGAUUGUAGGUAAGGUAACGGCUUACCUAGGCGACGAUCCCUAGCUGGUCUGAGAGGAUGAUCAGCCACACUGGGACUGGGACACGGCCCGUACUCCUACGGGAGGCAGCAGUGGGGAAUAUCGCACAAGGGGCGCAAUCCUGAUGCAGCCAUGCCGCGUGUAGGAAGAAGGCCUUCGGGUUGUAAAGUACUUUCAGUCGGGAGGCGUUACCGACAGAAGAAGCACCGGCUAACUCCGUGCCAGCAGCCGCGGUAAUAC